UACGGAGGAUGCAAGCGUUAUCCGGAAUGAUUGGGCGUAAAGCGUCCGCAGGUGGCUAUGUAAGUCUGCUGUUAAAGAGUGAGGCUCAACCUCAUAAAAGCAGUGGAAACUACAUGGCUAGAGUGCGUUCGGGGCAGAGGGAAUUCCUGGUGUAGCGGUGAAAUGCGUAGAUAUCAGGAAGAACACCCGUGGCGAAGGCGGCUCUCUGGGACGGUACUGACGCUGAGACGCGAAAGCGUGGGGAGCGAACAGG
rnacentral:rRNA from 1 species